UCAGCUUCACUUUCAAAUUAGAUCAUAUCAUAAUUUGCUAGAAUGUUCAGUGCAGGCGACGAUGGGAGCAGGUGCUUGGUGCUGCUUCUUGCACUCGGGUUACUUUGCAGACGUAUGGGCCUCUUUCUUCGUUUCAGUUCGUCUGCAUCAAGGCAUUAAUGCAAUUUAGCGUGGCAGGGCAGCUAAAGGAGCUACCUAGCCUAAUUGAGCAAAUGAAGACGUGUCAUGGUCGGCCAUCAAUUAAGGCUACAAGUGAAGAAACACUAAACAAUCUCCGGUUAGCCUGAUUGGAGCACAUGCUGCUUGCAGACAAAUUUGCUCUUCGGAUAUAUUAUGAAGUGUUUGGAUUUUACUGUUGUGAGGGAGUGGGGAAACACGCACAUACAAACACACGCGCACUCCGUUCUACCACGACAGCUGGAGUUGUCAGAAAUGCAAUAAAGAUUAACCUAAUAUAUUUUUUUCAAAAAAAGAGUAUGAGAAGUACCGAAUCGCGGAAAAUGAACAUUAGUUUAAAAGAAAACAAUCUUAAUAUGUUUUUCUGGAGGAGCAGAAAGCUAGGCCUCGGCUAAGAACUGGAACAAAAUGCAAAUGAGGCAAAGCUCUCAACCUUGUGCCUUACAAAGUCAGAGAGCAGGACCCGAUAACACAGACCCUCCACAUUAGGAUGUCAUAAAAAUCUGGAGCUGGUUGGCUCCGUGCAACGCGCUUCAGAGCAAUUGUUCCUCGAAAUCUAGAUCUCACUUGAGUUACUCUUAUUUUGGGGGCAUCCGGUGUCUCAGGAGGCUGCAGCAGGAUGAUCGGAACCAACAGAAGCCCCAUGAAAGAUGCUGGACGUCGAAUCCCAGUUGGUCUCGGCGUAGCAGAUGGACGAAAUGCGCCAGAAGUACUUUCCUCCAUCACUUGGAUGCUAGCUGGUUCAAUACCGUGAGAGAUGUUAAGAGACGACUGAAGAGCCGAGGUCUCGACCUGCCACCUCAGCCACUAACCAGCCGUGCAUGCAAAAAUGGCGCAUAACGCGAAGGUUCCUUUUUUUGGCAUGUAGACAUCAAAACCCCAACUUAACCCAUGAUCACUUCUUCAAAUGCGAAUGGGAUUCAUUUUUACAU